rnacentral:rRNA from 1 species
UACGUAGAGGGCAAGCGUUGUCCGGAUUUACUGGGCGUAAAGAGCGUGUAGGCGGCCACGCAGGUCCGUUGUGAAAACUGGAGGCUCAACCUCCAGCUGUCGACGGAAACCGUAUGGCUAGAGUCCGGAAGAGGAGAGUGGAAUUCCUGGUGUAGCGGUGAAAUGCGCAGAUAUCAGGAAGAACACCAAUGGCGAAGGCAGCUCUCUGGGACGGUACUGACGCUGAGACGCGAAAGCGUGGGGAGCGAACAGG